UACGGGGGGGGGCAAGCGUUGUUCGGAAUUACUGGGCGUAAAGGGCUCGUAGGCGGCCAACUAAGUCGGAUGUGAAAUCCCCAGGCUUAACCUGGGAACUGCAUCCGAUACUGGAUGGCUUGAAUUCGGGAGAGGGAUGCAGAAUUCCAGGUGUAGCGGUGAAAUGCGUAGAUAUCUGGAGGAAUACCGGUGGCGAAGGCGGCAUCCUGGACCGAGAUUGACGCUGAUGAGCGAAAGCGUGGGGAGCAAACAGGG
rnacentral:rRNA from 1 species